rnacentral:rRNA from 1 species
GAUGAACGCUAGCGGCAGGCUUAACACAUGCAAGUCGAGGGGUAUAGUUCUUCGGAGCUAGAGACCGGCGCACGGGUGCGUAACGCGUAUGCAAUCUACCUUUUACAGAGGGAUAGCCCCAGAGAAAUUUGGAUUAAUACCUCAUAGUAUGUGAGAAUGGCAUCAUUUUCACAUUAAAGUCACAACGGCAAAAGAUGAGCAUGCGUCCCAUUAGCUUGUUGGUAAGGUAACGGCUUACCAAGGCAACGAUGGGUAGGGUACUGAGAGGGAGAUCCCCCANACUGGUACUGAGACACGGACCAGACUCCUACGGGAGCAGCAGUGAGGAAUAUUGGACAAUGGGCGCAAGCCUGAUCCAGCCAUGCCGCGUGCAGGAUGACGGUCCUAUGGAUUGUAAACUGACUUUUGUACAGGAAGAAACACUGGUUCGUGAACCAGCUUGACGGUACUGUAAGAUAAGGAUCGGCUAACUCCGUG